rnacentral:rRNA from 1 species
UUGUCCUACGGGAGGCAGCAGUGAGGAAUAUUGGUCAAUGGGCGAGAGCCUGAACCAGCCAAGUCGCGUGAAGGAUGACGGCCCUAUGGGUUGUAAACUUCUUUUGUCAGGGAGCAAUUGAGUCCACGUGUGGGCUUAGCGAGAGUACCUGAAGAAAAAGCAUCGGCUAACUCCGUGCCAGCAGCCGCGGUAAUACGGAGGAUGCGAGCGUUAUCCGGAUUUAUUGGGUUUAAAGGGUGCGUAGGCGGGACGGUAAGUCAGCGGUAAAAAUGCGGAGCUCAACUCCGUCGAGCCGUUGAAACUGU